rnacentral:lncRNA from 1 species
GCUGAGGCAGGUGGAUCACAAGGUCAGGAGUUCGAGACCAGCCUGGCCAACAUGGUGAAACCCCAUCUGUACUAAAAAUACAAAAAUCAGCCAGGAGUGGUGGCGGGUGCCUGUAGUCCCAGCUACUCCGGAGGCUGAGGCAGGAGAAUCGCUUGAACCCGGGAAGCAGAGGUUGCAGUGAGCCAAGAUCGUGCCACUGCACUCCAGCCUGGGUGACAGAGCGAGACUCUGUCUCAAGAAAAAAAAAUAAAAAGAAAAAAAGGAAGACUAAUUCCUGGCCAGGCGCAGUGGCUCAUGCCUGUAACCCCAGCACUUUGGGAGGCCAAGGCAGGCGGAUCACCUGAGGUCAGUAGUUCGAGACCAGCCUGGCCAAAAUGCUGAAACUCUGUCUCU